GAUGAAGAACGUAGCGAAAUGCGAUAAGUAAUGUGAAUUGCAGAACUCAGUGAAUCAUCGAAUCUUUGAACGCACAUUGCGCCCGCCAGUAUUCUGGCGGGCAUGCCUGUUCGAGCGUCAUUACAACCCUCAGGCCCCCGGGCCUGGCGUUGGGGAUCGGCGGAAGCCCCCUGCGGGCACAACGCCGUCCCCCAAAUACAAUGGCGGUCCCGCCGCAGCUUCCAUUGCGUAGUAGCUAACACCUCGCAACUGGAGAGCGGCGCGGCCACGCCGUAAAACACCCAACUUCUGAAUGUUGACCUCGAAUCAGGUAGGAAUACCCGCUGAACUUAAGCAUAUCAAUAAGCGGAGGA
rnacentral:misc_RNA from 1 species